UUGUGAUUGGACUGAUUUCUCCUCUUAUUUCUUUUCAGUUGCUAGAGCUAACAGAGGAGGGGGCAGUUCAUUUUCACAUUCACGAUAUAACACAAACAUAACACUUAUGGACU